rnacentral:misc_RNA from 1 species
CAACCCUUAAGCCUUUGUUGCUUAGUGUUGGGAGCCUACGGUCAUAGUAGCUCCUCAAAGUUAGUGGCGGAGCUGGCUCACACUCUAGGCGUAGUAGAUGUUAUCUCGCUUGUGAGUUAGGCCGGUCCCUAGCCGUAAAACCCCCUAAUUUUUAAAGG